rnacentral:rRNA from 1 species
GAUGAACGCUGGCGGCGUGCCUAAUACAUGCAAGUCGAGCGAACAGACGAGGAGCUUGCUCCUCUGACGUUAGCGGCGGACGGGUGAGUAACACGUGGAUAACCUACCUAUAAGACUGGGAUAACUUCUGGAAACCGGAGCUAAUACCGGAUAAUAUAUUGAACCGCAUGGUUCAAUAGUGAAAGACGGUUUUGCUGUCACUUAUCGAUGGAUCCGCGCCGCAUUAGCUAGUUGGUAAGGUAACGGCUUACCAAGGCAACGAUGCGUAGCCGACCUGAGAGGGUGAUCGGCACCACUAGAACUGAGACACGGUCCAGACUCCUAAGGGAGGCAGAAGUAGGGAAUCUUCCGCAAUGGGCGAAAGCCAGACGGAGCAACGCCGAGUGAGUGAUGAAGGUAUUCGGAUCGUAAAACUCGGUUAUUAGGGAAGAACAAAUGUGUAAGUAACUAUGCACGUCUAGACGGUACCUAAUCAGAAAGACACGGCUAACUACGUG